ACGAGCCCUGGAAUUCGGUGCUUCACACCAAAAUGGUCGACUUCAUGUGCGAGUCUUCGGAAAGUCAAAUCCUCUUAACCCUGAUGCCGUCUUUCCUCAUCCGUCGUUCGAAUACGUCAUGGGAGAGAUGAAAAGGUGCUUCCUUUCCAACAUGGGAGAGGACAGCACGGUUUCCAAUGAAUUCGACUCCGCUUUUCCUUUCCGACGUCGUCGCGAAACGGUUGGUCAGGAGUAACCUUUGCUCAAGCAUUUGCUCAAGGGGCCAUGACGCAUUUUGAGAAUUCAAACGACCUAUCCUCCGAGUACUUCCGGGUCGUCUCACUCAGAUGGGAAGGAAAGUUCGGAAGCAAAAAUGAGAAUCAGAAGUGGCCCUGAGACAGGAUUUUUUGGGGACAAAUUGUGUCUGUCUACAUUUUUCAGGUAAAUGUAUUUUUAUGUGAUUCUAUGUAAUGUAUUUAAUCCCUCCUUUUUUUAACUAAUUGUUUCAAUCAAUAUUGCUGCAUUCAUUUAUUGUAACCUUAUUUGAUUUUAUUGAAUUCUAUUUGGCGGAAAAGCUUUUGGGGUACUUGUGCUGAUAUUUUGCAUUUUCUGUAUGAAUGUAAUUUAAUUUACGGUCAUUUAAUAUAAUUGUAUUUCAUUUCAUUGAAAUUAGUUUUAUUUUGUGUUAUUUUAAA